UACGUAGGUGGCAAGCGUUAUCCGGAUUUAUUGGGCGUAAAGCGAGCGCAGGCGGUUGCUUAGGUCUGAUGUGAAAGCCUUCGGCUUAACCAUAGAACUGCAUUUGAAACUGUUAUUCUAGAGUAUGGGAGAGGUAGGUGGAAUUCUUGGUGUAGGGGUAAAAUCCGUAGAGAUCAAGAGGAAUACUCAUUGCGAAGGCGACCUGCUAGAACAUAACUGACGCUGAUGCGCGAAAGCGUGGGGAGCAAACAGG
rnacentral:rRNA from 1 species